GUUUACGUGCACGUUUCGUGGCAGAGCCUCCUCCUAAUCUGACAGUGCCUGAGAAUUAAUCUUGUUCACCCAGCUGCUGCAAUAGGAUUAUAGAGAGGGGAAGUGCGUCACAAGGCUCCUUGGAAAUUGAGGAAUGCAAUUCUGCCACCAUGAUGGAAGGAUUGAAAAAGCGUACAAGGAAGGCCUUUGGUAUACGGAAGAAAGAAAAGGACACUGAUUCCAC